UGUUAUUCCUAAAUAACUACAUUCUUGGGUUAGUAAUAGUUAUUUACUUAAAAAUUAAAAAAUUUGGCGGUAAUUUAAUCUUUCCAGAGGAACUUGUUUUUUAAUCGAUACACCGCGAAUAAUCUUACUUGCUCUCAAAUAAUUAAGUUUGUAUACCAUCAUUAUCAGGUAAUUUUGAAAAAAUUAAUUACUAAUAUUAAAAGUUUAUUUAAAUUAGAUCAAGGUGCAGCUUAUGGGCAAGUUAAAAUGAGUUACAAUAAAGUUUUUUAUUACGGAAAAAUAAGAGAAUACUUAUUUGGAAGGAGGAUUUGGUAGUAUUAAUAGUAUAUUACGCUUUUAAGAUGAUAGCUCUAAAUUAUGUACAUAU
rnacentral:rRNA from 1 species